UACGUAGGGUGCGAGCGUUAAUCGGAAUUACUGGGCGUAAAGCGUGCGCAGGCGGUUUUGUAAGCCAGAUGUGAAAUCCCCGGGCUUAACCUGGGAAUGGCAUUUGGGACUGCAAGGCUGGAGUGUGGCAGAGGAGACUGGAAUUCCUGGUGUAGCAGUGAAAUGCGUAGAUAUCAGGAGGAAUACCGAUGGCGAAGGCAGGUCUCUGGGCUGACACUGACGCUCAUGCACGAAAGCGUGGGGAGCAAACAG
rnacentral:rRNA from 1 species